rnacentral:rRNA from 1 species
GCUGGCGGCAUGCCUAACACAUGCAAGUCGAACGGUAACAGACCGCUGGGAUCCCUUCGGGGUGAACUUGGUGCUGACGAGUGGCGGACGGGUGAGUAAUGCAUAGGAAUCUGCCCAGUAGCGGGGGACAACUCGGGGAAACUCGAGCUAAUACCGCAUACGCCCUACGGGGGAAAGCGGGGGACCUUCGGGCCUCGCACUAUUGGAUGAGCCUAUGUCUGAUUAGCUUGUUGGUGAGGUAACAGCUUACCAAGGCGACGAUCAUGUAGCUGGUCUGAGAGGAUGAUCAUGCCACACCGGAACUGAGACACGGUCCGGACUCCUACGGGAGGCAGCAGUGGGGAAUAUUGGACAAUGGGGGCAACCCUGAUCCAGCAAUGCCGCGUGUGUGAAGAAGGCCUGCGGGUUGUAAAGCACUUUCAGUAAGGAAGAAAAUCACAGGAUUAAUACUCCUGUGCCUUGACAUUACUUACAGAAGAAGCACCGGCUAACUCCGUGCCAGCAGCCGCGGUAGUACGGAGGGUGCGAGCGUUAAUCGGAAUUACUGGGCGUAAACGCGCGUAGGUGGUUCAGUAAGUCGGAUGUGAAAGCCCAGGGCUUAACCUUGGAAUUGCAUUC